rnacentral:rRNA from 1 species
AUUGAACGCUGGCGGCAUGCCUUACACAUGCAAGUCGAACGGCAGCGGACCUUCGGGUGCCGGCGAGUGGCGAACGGGUGAGUAAUGCAUCGGAACGUACCUUUCAGUGGGGGAUAACGUGGCGAAAGUUACGCUAAUACCGCAUAUUCUGUGAGCAGGAAAGCAGGGGAUCGCAAGACCUUGCGCUGAUUGAGCGGCCGAUGUCAGAUUAGCUAGUUGGUGAGGUAAAGGCUCACCAAGGCGACGAUCUGUAGCGGGUCUGAGAGGAUGAUCCGCCACACUGGAACUGAGACACGGUCCAGACUCCUACGGGAGGCAGCAGUGGGGAAUUUUGGACAAUGGGGGCAACCCUGAUCCAGCCAUGCCGCGUGGGUGAAGAAGGCCUUCGGGUUGUAAAGCUCUUUCGGCCGGGAAGAAAUCGCACGGGCUAAUACCCUGUGUGGAUGACGGUACCGGAAUAAGAAGCACCGGCUAACUACGUGCCAGCAGCCGCCGCAG